UAAGCGAGAUAUGAAAUUGUGUGGCUCAACCAUACACCCAUAUUUCGAACUGCUUAGCUAGAGGACGAGAGAGGUAACUGGAAUUCCCUGUGUAGGAGUGAAAUCCGUAGAUAUAGGGAGGAACACCGAUGGCGUAGGCAGGUUACUGGCUCGUUCCUGACACUCAGGCACGAAAGCGUGGGGAGCAAACGGGAUUAGAUACCCCGGUAGUCCACGCCGUAAACUAUGGAUGCUA
rnacentral:rRNA from 1 species